UACGUAGGGGGCAAGCGUUGUCCGGAUUUAUUGGGCGUAAAGAGCGUGUAGGCGGUCUGGUAGGUCCGUUGUGAAAACUCGAGGCUCAACCUCGAGACGCCGAUGGAAACCAUCAGACUAGAGUCCGGAAGAGGAGAGUGGAAUUCCUGGUGUAGCGGUGAAAUGCGCAGAUAUCAGGAAGAACACCCGUGGCUAAGGCGGCUCUCUAGUACGGUACUGACGCCGAGACGCGAAAGCGUGGGGAGCGAACAGG
rnacentral:rRNA from 1 species